CCCUUAGAUGUUCUGGGCCGCACGCGCGCUACACUGAUGCAUUCAACGAGCCUAUCCUUGACCGACAGGUCCGGGUAAUCUUUGAAUCUGCAUCGUGACGGGGAUAGAUUAUUGCAAUUAUUAAUCUUCAACGAGGAAUUCCUAGUAAACGCAAGUCAUCAGCUUGCAUUGAUUACGUCCCUGCCCUUUGUACACACCGCCCGUCGCACCUACCGAUUGAAUGACUCGGUGAAAAAUUGGGACCGUGAGUCUGUUUGCUUCAUUGCGAGUGGAUUGAUGGGAACUUUUUUAAACCUCGCCAUUUAGAGGAAGGUGAAGUCGUAACA
rnacentral:rRNA from 1 species